rnacentral:rRNA from 1 species
UACAGAGGUGGCAAGCGUUGUUCGGAAUUACUGGGCGUAAAGGGCGCGUAGGCGGCCUUCUAAGUCAGACGUGAAAUCCCCAGGCUUAACUUGGGAACUGCGUCUGAUACUGGGAGGCUUGAGUGCGGGAGAGGGAUGUGGAAUUCCAGGUGUAGCGGUGAAAUGCGUAGAUAUCUGGAGGAACACCGGUGGCGAAGGCGGCAUCCUGGACCGACACUGACGCUGAGGCGCGAAAGCGUGGGUAGCAAACAGG